GACGAACGCUGGCGGCGUGCUUAACACAUGCAAGUCGAACGAAGUGGCGAACGGGUGAGUAAUACGUGGGUAACCUGUCCCCCUUUUUGGGAUAAGCCUUGGAAACGGGGUCUAAUACCGAAUAAAGGGGGAUGGGCUCGCGGCCUAUCAGCUUGUUGGUGGGGUGAUGGCCUACCAAGGCGGUGACGGGUAGCCGGCCUGAGAGGGUGACCGGGCACGUGAGGACUGAGAGACGGCCCAGAGACGUACGGGAGGGAGCAGUGGGGGAUAGUGCACAAUUGGCGCAGACCUGAUGCGGCGACGCCGCGUGGGGGAUGAGGUCUUUCGGGUUGGAAACCUCUGUCGCUAUCGAACGGGUAGGUGAAGAGGAAGCGCCGGCUAACUACGUGCCAGCAGCCGCGGUAAUAC
rnacentral:rRNA from 1 species